GAUGAACGCUAGCUACAGGCUUAACACAUGCAAGUCGAGGGGCAGCACUAGGUAGCAAUACUGAGGUGGCGACCGGCGCACGGGUGCGUAACGCGUAUCCAACCUUCCCGUUACUCAGGGAUAGCCUUCCGAAAGGGAGAUUAAUACCUGAUGGUAUUCAAAUUCCGCAUGUUAUUUGAAUUAAAGAUUUAUCGGUAACGGAUGGGGAUGCGUGACAUUAGGUAGAUGGCGGGGUAACGGCCCACCAUGCCUACGAUGUCUAGGGGUUCUGAGAGGAAGGUCCCCCACACUGGAACUGAGACACGGUCCAGACUCCUACGGGAGGCAGCAGUGAGGAAUAUUGCACAAUGGGGGAAACCCUGAUGCAGCAACGCCGCGUGAGUGAAGAAGUAUUUCGGUAUGUAAAGCUCUAUCAGCAGGGAAGAAGAAAGACGGUACCUGACUAAGAAGCACCGGCUAAAUACGUGCCAGCAGCCGCGGU
rnacentral:rRNA from 1 species